rnacentral:rRNA from 1 species
CGUAGCCGACCUGAGAGGGUAAUCGGCCACAUUGGGACUGAGACACGGCCCAAACUCCUACGGGAGGCAGCAGUAGGGAAUCUUCCACAAUGGACGAAAGUCUGAUGGAGCAAUGCCGCGUGAGUGAAGAAGGGUUUCGGCUCGUAAAACUCUGUUGUUAAAGAAGAACACCUUUGAGAGUAACUGUUCAAGGGUUGACGGUAUUUAACCAGAAAGCCACGGCUAACUACGUGCCAGCAGCCGCGGUAAUACGUAGGUGGCAAGCGUUGUCCGGAUUUAUUGGGCGUAAAGCGAGCGCAGGCGGUUUUUUAAGUCUGAUGUGAAAGCCUUCGGCUUAACCGGAGAAGUGCAUCGGAAACUGGGAGACUUGAGUGCAGAAGAGGACAGUGGAACUCCAUGUGUAGCGGUGGAAUGCGUAGAUAUAUGGAAGAACACCAGUGGCGAAGGCGGCUGUCUAGUCUGUAACUGACGCUGAGGCUCGAAAGCAUGGGUAGCGAACAGGAUUAGAUACCCUGGUAGUCCAUGCCGUAAACGAUGAGUGCUAAGUGUUGGAGGGUUUCCGCCCUUCAGUGCUGCAGCUAACGCAUUAAGCACUCCGCCUGGGGAGUACGACCGCAAGGUUGAAACUCAAGGAAUUGACGGGGCCCGCACAAGCGGUGGAGCAUGUGGUUAAUUCGAAGCUACGCGAAGAACCUUACCAGGUCUUGACAUCUCUGCCAAUCUAGAGAUAGACGUUCCUUCGGGACAGAAUGACAGUGUGCAUGCUGUCGUCAGCCUCGUGUCGUGAGAUGUUGGCUAGUCCCGCACCGA